ACGCACGCUGGCGGCAUGCCUAACACAUGCAAGUCGAACGAGACCUUCGGGUCUAGUGGCGCACGGGUGCGUAACGCGUGGGAACCUGCCCUUAGGUUCGGAAUAACUCCCCGAAAGGGGUGCUAAUACCGGAUAAUGUCUUCGGACCAAAGAUUUAUCGCCUUUGGAUGGGCCCGCGUUGGAUUAGCUAGUUGGUAGGGUAAAAGCCUACCAAGGCGACGAUCCAUAGCUGGCCUGAGAGGAUGAUCAGCCACACUGGGACUGAGACACGGCCCAGACUCCUACGGGAGGCAGCAGUGGGGAAUAUUGGACAAUGGGCGAAAGCCUGAUCCAGCAAUGCCGCGUGAGUGAUGAAGGCCUUAGGGUUGUAAAGCUCUUUUACCCGGGAUGAUAAUGACAGUACCGGGAGAAUAAGCUCCGGCUAACUCCGUG
rnacentral:rRNA from 1 species